rnacentral:rRNA from 1 species
UACGUAGGUGGCAAGCGUUGUCCGGAUUUACUGGGCGUAAAGGAUGCGUAGGCGGAUAUUUAAGUCAGAUGUGAAAUACCCGGGCUCAACUUGGGUGCUGCAUUUGAAACUACCAAACUAGAGUGCAGGAGAGGUAAGUGGAAUUCCACGUGUAGCGGUGAAAUGCGUAGAGAUGUGGAGGAACACCAGUGGCGAAGGCGGCUUUCUGGUCUGUAACUGACGCUGAGGCGCGAAAGCGUGGGGAGCAAAC